CAGUCGCCGCGGGAAUACGUAGGGUGCGAGCGUUAAUCGGAAUUACCGGGCGUAAAGCGUGCGCAGGCGGUUAUAUAAGACAGAUGUGAAAUCCCCGGGCUCAACCUGGGACCUGCAUUUGUGACUGUAUAGCUAGAGUACGGUAGAGGGGGAUGGAAUUCCGCGUGUAGCAGUGAAAUGCGUAGAUAUGCGGAGGAACACCGAUGGCGAAGGCAAUCCCCUGGACCUGUACUGACGCUCAUGCACGAUAGCGUGGGGAGCAAACAGGAUUAGAUACCCCGGUAGUCCCUGUCUCUUAUAC
rnacentral:rRNA from 1 species